CCUGGCUCAGGAUGAACGCUAGCGGCAGGCUUAACACAUGCAAGUCGAGGGCAUCGGGAGUAGCAAUACUUGCCGGCGACCGGCGCAAGGGUGCGUAACGCGUGAGCAACAUGCCCGUAUCAGGGGGAUAAUCCAUGGAAACGUGGUCUAAUACCCCAUAGUAAUUAUGUAAGGCAUCUUAUAUAAUUUAAAGCUUUGGUGGAUACGGAUUGGCUCGCGUGACAUUAGCUAGAUGGUAAGGUAACGGCUUACCAUGGCUACGAUGUCUAGGGGUUCUGAGAGGAAGGUCCCCCCACACUGGAACUGAGACACGGUCCAGACUCCUACGGGAGGCAGCAGUGAGGAAUAUUGGACAAUGGAUGGAAAUCUGAUCCAGCCAUGCCGCGUGCAGGAAAGACGGCCCUAUGGGUUGUAAACUGCUUUUGUAUGGGAGCAAUAAGGGCUACGCGUAGUCCGAUGAGAGUACCAUACGAAUAAGCAUCGGCUAACUCCGUGCCAGCCGCCGC
rnacentral:rRNA from 1 species